AUUGAACGCUGGCGGCAGGCCUAACACAUGCAAGUCGAACGAGUGGCGGACGGUUGAGUAAUGUCUGGGAAACUGCCCGAUGGAGGGGGGUAACUACUGGAAACGGUAGCUAAUACCGCAUACCAUCGGAUGUGCCCAGAUGGGAUUAGCUAGGAGGUGGGGUAACGGCUCACCUAGGCGACGAUUCCUAGCUGGUCUGAGAGGAUGACCGGCCAGACUGGAACUGGCACACGGUCCAGACUCCUACGGUAGGCAGCAGUGGGGAAUAUUGCACAAUGGGCGCAAGCUUGAUGCAGCCAUGCCGCGUGUAUGAAGAAGGCCUUCGGGUUGUAAAGUACUUUCAGCGGGGAGGCGUUACUCGCAGAAGAAGCACCGGCUAAAUCCGUGCCAGCAGCCGCGGUAAUAC
rnacentral:rRNA from 1 species